AGUGGUGGACCCACCUUUAGUCAUGGUGGGUCCCGUGACACAGUAUUAAUUUUUAAAUAAAUUAAAACAAAAAAAAACUAAUAAAUUUGCUAAAGGUAAGUGGUGACAAUGUCUAACAAAAGUGAGAAUUGUCCUUACUACUCCCAAAGUCACGUGAAACCCAACCAAAAAUCAAGUAAAGUUAAAAAAAAAAAUUGUCAGUUAUUUUCUCUCUCCCUAAAAAAAUAAACGUUUUGAAUAACAAAAUUUAGCACCCACUCUUACACACGGACGAAACGACGCAACCACCGAGCGCUGAGUGUCGACUGACCGAGACACCAGAUCGACCACCCACCGCCGGCCGACAACCUCUGCGGCUCCACCCACUCUUGUCCUCUGUCCGACUGUCCACUCUAUAAACUAAUAAACCAGCUGCUCUCAAUCUUCAAUUUAUCACCCUUCUUCUUGCGCGCAACUGUAAAAUCUCACAUCAUCGGUUAGUGUAAGAGAAAGGAUAUGGAUCCAUUUGAGUUUUCUAGUAGCAGCAUCUAUAAUCAAUCCACUGUUGCUAUUAUAGAUGGUUGUCGGAAGACAUCUAUUCAUUGUGAUAGAAAUGUUUUGACAUUUCUUUGUGAUCAUAGCGGGUUAGAGGAUUACAAGUCUAUUGAUAAGUUGUGUGAGGACUGCUAUGAGGCAGGCAAACAAUCUACACCAGUAGGAAUAAACGCACACGGCUAUUUUUGUUCUUCUAUCAUAGCGUCACGUCGUUUUGUUGAUGCUAGUAUUGGACGGAUCAAAUUAGGCACCAUUAGUGGCAUCUCACCCCCACCCCGCAUUGCAAUCUAUGCAAUUGGAUGCCCUUGUGGUUAAUUGAUAAUGAUAGUGUAAAUCAUGCUAUUUAUGAAGCAAUCUCAGCUAAAGUGGAUGUGAUAUCAAUGUCACUUUCGAAAUCGUUUUCAUCUCUCUUUUCUGAUGAAUCUAGUGAUGCAUGGGGCGUAGCGAUUAUGGAAGCAUUGAGAGAAGAUAUCCUCAUUGUACUAUCAGCAGGAAACUAUGGCAAAUUAGGUCUUCAAUCAAUACAAAAAACUCCUCCUUGGACCGUAACCGUUGCUUCAUGCACCCCGACCACCAAAUUCAAAAGUAAAGUUGAAUUUGUAUCUGAUACAGAUUUUUAUGAGCUAGAAGAUAUUGAGGGGUACUCCAUUAGUAUGUUCUCAAGUUCAAGUUCUAAUGAUGAUUUUCUACCUGUAAGGAAGUUGGGCGAUAUCCAAGAUACACAAAGCAUCAUGUAUCUUAAAAACUCGGAAAUUUUAGUUGAACCCUCUUCAGAUUUUUCGGAUAGUGCAAGCAUACAACCAAUUGUCCUACUUUCAAAAGAAGCAAGUAAUAUAGUUUGCUACUAUUUGGAAAGCGUAACUGCAAAAAAUGGGUCACUCUAUGCUAUUAUCCAUUGCUCGUCGAGAAAGAAGUUGGUAGUACACCUUUAGUUUCAGACUUUUCUGGCCGUGGACCAUGUCGUACUUACACAGAAUUCAUGAAGCCUGAUCUUUGCGCUCCAGGGGAGCAUAUUGUUGCAUCUUGGCCAGACGACGUGCCUUUAGGAGACGAUGGGGAUUCAUUUUUUGUUCCAUAUAAUGUCUUGUCCGGCACUUCUUUUGCAACACCCCUCGUUGCUGCUGGACUUGCUAUGAUCAAAGCGGAGAAAAACUUUUCUGUUUCUGCAACAAUUUCUGCAGCCAUAACUACUGCUAACAAAAUGCAUGGAAAGAUCUUGCUUUUGAGUUUGCAUAUGGAGCAGGAGAGUUUAAUUUGAAAAGGGCAAGACAACCCGGUCUGGUGUAUGAGGAGAAACAUUGUAUUUUUGAAAGAUUCUAUUUGUCUGAUGGAGAAGAUCCACCUUACUUUCACCUUAAUCUACCUUAUUUCUCAGCUACAUUUCCUCCACAUUGUGAAGAAAAAUGGGCUAUUAAAUUCAGUAGAAAAUUAAGAAGUGUUGAGAAAGGGCGAAGUACAUAUACUGCUAAGAUUGAAAUUCAUUCUUCUACGAUGCGCAUGCCUACAGAGUCAAUCAGCAUCAGCGUUGUUCCGAAAAUAUUGGAAUUUGAUGAUAUGGACUGUGAACAACAAUUUACUUUGAAUGUGAGUUUGCCUAACACCAAAUAUUAUGAAUGGUCUUUUGGUGUGAUUUCUGGUUCUUUAAUAUGGACAAAAAAUGCUGAUAAAGAAGAUCAGAGAACUGUAGUUGAUUCUCCCAUUCUACUUUCAUCCAGACAUGUACCAUCUAGGCCAGUUGGAGUUUAUCCUUCCUCAUGUUAGUACUUCAUGACUUUUAUGUUUGAUGGUGAACUCAUUCGAUAUGUACAUAUCAUUUUUGUAUGAAAUUUUAUUGAUUUACAAUUUUAUAGUAGUGUUUCACCAAAUAUAUUAAUUUACACUAAUAUAAUACUUAUUUGCAAGGGUGAAUAAUUUGCA